rnacentral:rRNA from 1 species
ACUUUGAUCGAUUUCUUCGGAAUGAAGUUUUAGUGACUGAGUGGCGGACGGGUGAGUAACGCGUGGGUAACCUGCCUCACACUGGGGGAUAACAGUUAGAAAUAGCUGCUAAUACCGCAUAAGCGCACGGUACCGCAUGGUACAGUGUGAAAAACUCCGGUGGUGUGAGAUGGAUCCGCGUCUGAUUAGGUAGUUGGUGAGGUAACGGCCCACCAAGCCGACGAUGGAUAGGGGUUCUGAGAGGAAGGUCCCCACAUUGGAACUGAGACACGGUCCAAACUCC